UUUUUCACAACUUUGUCCCUGUGAUGUGCUUUCCUUGAAGAUCCUUUCCCUCAGAGAACUGACAGAUAGUAAAGAACAGCCAGGAAGAGUGGGCUCUACCGUUCUUCAGGGCUUGCCUUUGGCUUUCUGCCCUCAGAACCAGGAAAAAGAGAACACUUGCUUUUUGUCUCACCCAGCCUCAGGGAGCAGAAAUGCUAGAGAAAUCCCAAAAGCUUAGGUAAAGAUGGGCAUAGAUAGGAGUGGCUGUCCCCAGGAAAGAUGGGCGUAGAUAGGAGUGGCUGUCCCCAGGAAAGAUGGGCGUGGAUAGGAGUGGCUGACCCCAGGAAAGAUGGGCGUAGAUAGGAGUGGCUGUCCCCAGGAAAGAUGGGCGUAGAUAGGAGUGGCUGUCCCCAGGAAAGAUGGGCGUAGAUCGGAGUGGCUGUCCCCAGGAAAGAUGGGCGUAGAUCGGAGUGGCUGUCCCCAGGAAAGAUGGGCGUAGAUAGGAGUGGCUGACCCCAGGAAAGAUGGGCGUAGAUCGGAGUGGCUGACCCCAGGAAAGAUGGGCGUGGAUAGGAGUGGCUGUCCCCAGGAAAGAUGGGCGUAGAUAGGAGUGGCUGUCCCCAGGAAAGAUGGGCGUAGAUAGGAGUGGCUGUCCCCAGGAAAGAUGGGCGUAGAUAGGAGUGGCUGUCCCCAGGAAAGAUGGGCGUAGAUAGGAGUGGCUGACCCCAGGAAAGAUGGGCGUAGAUCGGAGUGGCUGACCCCAGGAAAGAUGGGCGUAGAUCGGAGUGGCUGUCCCCAGGAACUUCUCCGCAUUAGGCUGUGCUUGUGGCAUCUCUCAGGUCCCUCCAUUGCUAUCACCUCCAGAAUCAGAGGCUGCCUUACCACAUGUGUGAGAUUCCCUUCAGUUAGCUCUGAGCCUUUGGCCAAGACUGCACAAAUGUCUUAGCCUGGUUUCAGAACAACUCUGCUCUCCCAGACCCCAUUCAAAUGAGGUCUGCACCUGUGCCUGGGUGGAAAGGUAGUGGAGAGCAGUCCCUCCUGAGGACAGCUUGGGGUGGUAGUAGCAAUGCAGGGGGAUACCUACGGGGAGGGGAACUCUGGAGGUGAGAGUUGGGGCCGCCUUAUUCCCCAAAUGUCAAAUUUUUUGCUCCUCUGAUUACCUUGGAGAAUCUUGAUGGAUAUUUUUUUUGGUGCCUCAGUGAACGGGUGGGGGGGAAUGUGGUUUCUAAGAGGCCUCCUAUCUUGAGCUCAGGAUCCCUUCUGAGCUUAAUAUUAUAUAUCUUUAGAUUGGCUCUUUCUCAUUGGCUCUGAUUGGCCUGCCAUGGAUCAAGGGAACACUAGAAUUAAUCAGCUGGGGCCAGGAAGGUAGAGUCGUUCCAACAAGAAUCAGGUACAAAGGGUUGGGGCAUGGAGAAGGCCAGGAUGCAAGGAAGGGCCAUCCCAGAAGAGCAGCCUGAUGGGCAGAUGAUAUUUUUGGUAUAGAUGGACCAUCAUUUCUUUAAACAUUCCAUCAUUAAGUUAUUUUCCAUUUUUUUCUGUUGCAUCGAAUACCUAUGUAUGCACAUCUUUGUGACACAUGUUACUAUUUUUGUAG
rnacentral:lncRNA from 1 species